GACCUGAUCCAUAAAUGGACCCGAUCCAAAUAAAAGAAUGAGAAGAGUUUUCAAAUCUUCUCUUAGCUACUCCUUGUCUAGUUUUCCAAAAAACACUAAACCCUUUCCCUCUUUUUCAGCCGCUUCAUCUCUUGAUUGCGGUGGGAAAGCUCCAAGUGACAAUAGAUGUUCUUCAUUUCUGCCUAGAUAUGACGUCGAUUGUGCUAUCUGGUAUCACUUCUGACCAGUUCCUCAGAUGACCAAACCAACAAGCCUUGUUUGAAGUUUUUUGAUAGCUAGGCUAUCUAAUUUUAGUUUUAUUUUUGCACCGGUGUAGAGUCUUCUGCUAUGAACUUAUUGUGCUCUCUCAUUCCACGCAUAACUGUUGAUUUGUAGUUAUGACUGUUGCUGAUACACAGGUAACCAGGAUCAGCAUCCAGCGCCUCGUUGAUCCAUUUGAGCACUCAGAGUCAGUUGGUGAGCCUCUUUGCUUUCCAGAGGUCUCCUUUUACAUUGCUUUAGUACUUUAGUUGUUAGGAUGAUCGGGGGUCUUGUCCCAACAUCCCUCCUUGUUUUAGAGGCUUCAUAGGCAGUUAGUAGUGCAAUUGUCUUAACAUUAUUAUUUCUUAUGUUAUGACUUGAGUUGCCAUCUAUGGCUAGUUGAAUAUUUUAUCCUUAAACGUUUUGAGCUUAA